GGGUGUGGCUCAGUUGGUAGAGUGCUUGCUUAGCAAGCAUGAAGUCCUGGGUUCAAACCCCAGCCCCA